UACAAUGUCCAUGAACAGAUGAGAAUUGACCGAGUUGGACCGGAUUUUGGAUCUUCUCAUCCACACUAAAAACCCCAAAAACUGCAACAUGAUUAGAGUUAUGAGACACAAAGGUGAAAAGUCUUAAGAUACCAUAGAUCCUCAAAUAGUUUCUUUACAUUAGGGUACCAGGCCUUAAUAUGAGGGAGGCCUGUAUUAGAGGAAUUUCAAUUCAAAUCCUCUCGGUCUAAGAUUUGUAAUUGUUCAUGUUCUGGUUCAAGACCAGAUUCAUGUGCAAAACAGCUAAAAAUGCAUUGUCUAAUUCACAAAGCACAAAGGGUUACAUGAUUCACAAACUGCACUGUGCUGUGCAAAUAUGUCCUCCCGUGCACCAGAGUUAUUUGCACAAAUUUUUCAUCUAUUUGGUACAAAAUCUACCUCUCCAACACCUGGUGAUCAAGACGACUAUGAAAUAAUGCAUCUGUAGAUUGACAUUGCUAUUUCAACAAUAAUCAAGAGUUAAAUCAGACUUAAUUGUCUGGUUGGCAACUGAGUAAAGAAUGAAUAUGAUUGGUGGAUCACUUGGCAAUAGUGAUGGUAUCACUAAUUUUAGCAAUAGUGUUCUAAAGUUAAAAAGUAACCCUUUCUUUUACGGUUCACUUAUUACAAGGUAACUAACAGGUAAUUACCUAGUAACAACAUGACAUUAUCUGGUAAUUACAUGAUAACUACUAAGUCAAUACUGUCUAGCUACCAGGUAGGUAACCUUCCAUCAUUGUACAAAUUUGAAGCCGAAUUGCUCUGGUAUUUCCAGGAUUUUCUCCACUUCCUGGAACCACCACUUGCACAGUAGCAUAGUACGCAGUCGGCGGGUGAGUCGCUGUGAUAAUGCACGGUUCAAACAGCGUAUCGCUACGCAAUAGGCUGUAUCAAGUGUCAAUCAUAGAAGAUAAGAACCCCAAAUAGCUUUUGAAAAUGGAGCUGCACAGAAAAAAGAACAAAAGAAAAACUAGACAGUAUUGACUUAGUAGUUAUCAUGUAAUUACCAGAUAAUUUCAUAUUGUUACUAGGUAAUUACCUGUUAAUUACCUGGUAAUAACUGUACCGUAAAAGAAAGGGUUACCGGUUAAAAGGGUUUAUGAAAAUUUAGCACCAAAAAGCGUCACUUUGAUAUUUUCUAGUUACAAUGACCGACAACAAGGACAAAAACAGUCCCUCCUGUGUCCCUCUGUGAGCGCAGACUCUCCAGGAUCAGAUCUAAGAAGGAGUCACAUGCAAUGAUGCCACUGUAUUGAUUUUAAUUAUCCCAUUACUGAGCCCGGAGGUCUUAUAAAAACAGAUAAGCUAAAGACCUCUGACUAAUUACAUACGGGGAAGCAUCAUGCAUUUAUUUUCUGUUGAUUAAAGUUGCUUCGAUUUAUGUUAAAUAACAGUGUGAUUCAAAUGCAGAACAUAUUGGCUCUGACGGGGAGAGAAGAGGAUAAGUGAGAGGAGAUACAUCCACACUCAGCCAAACACAUUUGUAAAGAGAUUUCUUUUUUCUCUCUUCACACUCAUCGUCGGGCUGGAGCUGUCUCCUGGUAUUUAUAGAAUAAAGAAAAAUUCACUCAAUACUUUUUUCUUGUCUGAAGCUUUAAUUGUAUAAUAACGAAGAAAAUCAACUCAUUCAUACGACUGAGCUGUGAAAUCUGAAGUCAACAUAAAAAUAUUGGACUUGCAGAUGGCUCGUUUUGAAACUUUGCCAUAAAUCCAACGAUGGAUGAUGAAAUUUGAGAUGAAAUGAUAUAAAAUCUGGAGCAGAGACUUGUGAUUCCUAAAUUUAUUGUAUGAUAUCAGCGUUUGAGAUAUAAUGGAAAGCAGGUCUAUGAUUGGCUGAUUUCCACAGUUAACAGAAACAAAAUUAAAGUGGACUUUCCAGUAAAUUCAGACUGAUUAUCCACCGGCAUCAAUACACUUAAUCAAAAUAUAACAAUGUUAGCCCUUUAAUGCCUAAAACCAAAAAUUAUGGCCAGAAAAUUCAAUUUUUUUUUGGAGCUGAAAUAUUUAUUUCACUUUCUACUAAAACCAGGAAAUUUUAAAUGUCCUUAAAAUUUAACAAAUAUAUUUAUUUAUCUCUUUUGUUGAAUUAGAUGUGUUUGGAAACUGAUAAAACCACAAGAGGACAUUUUUAUCAUUUAUUGGACUGUAUUCAGGUGUUUUUUUAAGUAAUUUGUUGAUCAUAUUGAUUUGAUAGAAGUAUCAUUAAAGUAUGUAUCAAAUAUGACACAAAAGGCAUUAAAGUGUUAGAUAUUCUGAAUUACAUCGCACAUCAUCUCCAUGCAGUUUGCUCUGGUUUCUUUUUAUCAUCAUGACUAACUGUCAGGGUCUCCUUAUCUCUGCUGCUCAGAGCUGCACUCUAAUCCUGACUCUUGUGCUCAAUGGCACAAUCGCAAUAUAUAUCACAGGGUUGAAAACAUUGCAAUGUUAGUUUUUCCAAUAUCGUGCAGCCCUAGAUCGCAUGCAAAUUCCAGGACCACUCUUACUGACCUUAUUCUCUACAUGCAGAUAUCAAAUAUACCUGAACCUACUUUACCCUUUAUCACUAUUGCCGGAUGAAGAAGCGGAAAAAGGAGAAAGCAGGUUUUCGAUCAGGGAAACAAAUAUCCCUUCAAAGAUGUCAAAGGUAAUGAUACUCAGACAAAUGCAACAUCAUGAAAAACACCUAAACAUGUUUGGUUGGGCGAAAAUCACCCAGCGAUAGUGUUCUAGGGUUAAAAAAAUAAGGAAAUUGGGUUGAUAAAGGUGAAAUAUGUCCAGGUUCUGAUGCAGAAAAUGACAAAUAUUCCCCACAAUCCUGAGAGAAGGACGAUAAAGAGCGGUUUUUAACGGAGGACUCCUCCAGCCCUGGUUACGGCCGUAUGCGACGGUGUUACGACUUCAUUUCCCCCGCUCGUGACCCAUGACAGCCACGUUUUCUUUCUGCCCCGUUUUACGCUCACCCCAUCAUACAUUUUUACACCAUCAAUUCCACCUCACUUCCCACUUUCUCCUAUUCUCUCCAUAUCCACCACCUCCUCGUCAGAUUCAUGGUGCAGCGUUGGGACUCUGACAGACCAAUCCUGUUAUGUUCUCUGCAUCAUCUACUCCUCCUAAAAUCCUCGUUUUCCUACGCCAGACCAGCAGAAGGGCUGCAGGACUCAUCGGGUUUUAUCGCUCACACGUUUUAUGCAAUUGGGUGUCGGAGGUGCGUUUUUAGGGUGAGGGAUCAAGGUUGUGAUGCCGUACAUCUGCCUCCUUUUUUGGUUUCAGGCGACGUUACAAACACAGCAGAGAGAGAAUAAAAUCGAGAGUAGUGCCGCGCCAUUAACUCAAGAAUUACAGGAUCAAGGUUUUCCUCAUAAUUACGGAGCGCCAUUGUGUUUGUUCACAACUGUCAUCUGAGAGCAUAAUGUGUCUAUUACCAUUCAUCAGGACGGGAUCAGUCAGGUCUGUUUCAUCUGGCUUUCUUCUUUUUUUGUCUCUUUCAGGUUGAAAUAAAGGAUCCUUUUAAGUAAGAAGAUAAGAGAGGCUAAGAUGAAAUAAAAAAGAAAAACACAAAAUGAGCCGACGGAGAUGAUGCAACAGAAAGUCAGAGUUCAGCUCCGCAGGUGAACACGAGUGUGUGAUGAAGGUCACGAUCUUUCCAAACCACUUCACGGUCACAGAUCGAAGCCUGUGUGGGCUGCAGCUGAUAAAAACGAUCAUACUCCGAGUUUGCGAGUCGUUUCAUUCUCAGAUGAGACGCCUGGUUAGUUUAAAACAUUAUUAGCAGAUGGUAGACAGUUUCCUCUCCUCUACUGUAAUUAUAUAUUUUAUAAACAGGUGUAAUUGAAGGUUUAAAUAACGACACUCGUGUCUUUAUCUGCAGCUCUCUUCAGUCUUCUGUUCAUAUUUCUGUUUUCUAAAUAUUUAACACAACAAAUCUGGCCUUCACUCAUUUUUUUCUUAUAUCUGUGUUAAAAAUGCAUCAAAUCAUCUGAUUUGACUCAGAGGUGCUCGAUGUUUAUGACACGACUGCUGUGACAAUCCAAAUUUACAUUUUUGGGUAAUGCUGCGUUCCAGUUGUGCUUGGAAGUCCGAAUUUCCGAGCUCCGAGUCGGAAAUUCAUCUGCAACGCCCCCAAAAAGUCGGAUUUCCGAUUCGAUAGACGAUCCUCACCAACCCCAAAUUGACGAC